rnacentral:tRNA from 1 species
GCGCACGUAACUCAGUGGCCGAGUGCCCAGGGUGUGGACCUGGGAAGUUGGAGGUUCGAUUCCUCUCGUGCGCUCCA